GUCCUCCCAGUAAUAUGGAAAACUGGGCGUUGGGAACGGGCUCCACUCUUUAGAGUAGCGCUGAUUUCCUCACUGGAAGAGGUUAAGGCUGAGCAGAAAAAGGAUAUAACCUUGUUCUCAGCCACUUGCUAUCUCGGUGGAGACAAGUAGAACUACCCUCAGGCUUAAAAGAAGAAAGCAGACACCCACCUAGGCCCCUGCAGGGCCUCAGAGCUCCCUUCAGUAUCAUUCUCAUUGGUGCUGGAUUAAACAUCUAUUUGCCCUUGUCUGGAUACCGUAUAAUCUUCACAAACUGCAUCAUAGUGACUGGCCUGUUAAUGCAAGUUCUGAAUGGGGUUCUGCAGAGAAAUACAAAGGGCUCCCUAGCCCAUUUUAUUAAAAUUGCUUCUGUUGUGGGUAUACACGGAAAGUAGUAAUGCAUUAUAUUAGCCCAAUAAAGGGACAUAAAAGCUGAGGGAUCUUGGGGUGCUCACAUUGUCUAGGAUUAAUUAAGAGUUCCUCUCUGAAGGAGAGAGGACUUGGGAAUGGGAUUUGAAGGGCAGAGAGAACUUGAGCAAAUUCAGACAGGGUAAGGACACAAAGCGACCUAGGUAGGAAAGAGCAGAUUAGUUGCAUGGGACAGUGAGAUCACUUGGUAGGGUGGGAAGUAGAAGUUAGCGGAGGAGGUUUUUGUACUGAGAUCAGAAUGAGGAUAUGGAUUUGACAGGACAAGUGAUAAAGAAGUCAUUUUGGGUUCUUGAGCAUAGAAAUGAGUGCCUGAGGUCAAUUAUUGGAGCCUAAAAGAUGUCAUAAUGGUUCUUCCCACCAACUCUCUCACCUUUGGUUUAAAACAAACUUUAUUGAUUGAUUUAUCCUUAACAUACAAUAAAAUGCACAGAUCUUAGGUGUUUUGUUUGGUGAAUUUCAACAAUAACAUACACCGAUGGAACACCCCGAACAAGAAACUGAACCAUCACCCCAGAAAAUUCCCUCAUGCCCCUUUAUAUUUACAGUGAACUACCCUGCACCUACCACCACCCACCCCCUGCAACCUCCUGAAUUCUAUCACCAUAGUUUUGUCUGUUCUUGGAUUUCACAUAAGUGCAAAUAGUAUGCACUUUCUUGUGUCUAUAUUCUUUUUUUUUUUUUUUACGUUUAUUUAUUUUUGACAGAGAGAAAGAGCAUGAGUGGGGAAGGGGCAGAGAGAGGGAGACACAGAAUCUGAAGCAGGCUCCAGACUCUGAGCUGUCAGCACAGAGCCCAAUCCGGGGCUCAAACUCACCGAUUGCGAGAUCAUGAUCUGAGCCAAAGUUGGACGCUCAACCGACUGAGCCACCCAGGCGCCCCUGUGUCUAUAUUCUUUAGCUUAGUAAUGUUUUUGACUAAAGUGAGUCUGUUCUUUUUAUUGGAGAGCAAUAUUCCAUUGUACAAAUAUAUCACAAUUUGUUUAUCCAUUCUCCAGUUGAUGUAUAUUUGGGUGUUUCCAGUUUGGGGGCUAUUAUGAGUAAGGCUACUAUAAACUUGUGCAAAUCUUUUUAUGAAUAUGUUUUCAUUUCUAAGAAAGCUCACUUUAUUUUUUUGAAGUAUUAUUAAAAUACAAUCAUAUUAAUUUCAGGUGUACAACAUAGUGAUUCAACAUUUAUAUACAUUGCAAAAUGAUCACCAUAAGUCUAGUUACCAUCUGUCCCUAAAGUUCAUACAAUUUUAUUGAGUUUAUUUAUUUUGAGAGGGAAAGAGAGAGAGCACAGCAGAGAAGGAACAAAGAGAGAGGGAGAGAAAGAGAAUCCAAAGCAGGCCCCGAGCUGUCAGCGUGGAGACCCUUGUGGGACUCGAACUCACAAACCAGGUGAAAUCACGACCCGAGCCGAAAUCAAGAGUUGGAUGCUUGAUCGACUGAGCCACCCAGGCGUCCCAGUUCAUACAAUAUUUUUGACUGUAUUUCCCAUGUCAUACAAUACAUUCUCAUGACUUAUUUGCUCUAUAACUGGCAACUUAAGCCUCUUGAUCCCCUUCACUCAUAUUGCCCACCACCCCUACCCUCUUUUUUUUCUGGCAACUAUCAGUCUGUUGUCUGCAUCUAUGUCUGGUUUUGUUUGUUUUGUUUUUCAGAUUCUACAUGUAUGUGAAAUCAUGGGGGUAUUUGUCUUUUUCUGACUUAUUUCCCUUAGCAUAAUACCCUCAAGGUCCAUGUAUAUUGUCCCACGUGGCAAGAUUUCAUUCAUUUUAUGGCUAAUAUUCCAUUGUAUGUAUAUGGGUAUAUGUAUUGUAUAUAUAUGUACGUACACACACACACACACACACACACACACCCCCCACAUCUUGUUUAUCCACUCAUUUAUCGGUGGACACUUAGGUCGCUCCAUAUCUUGGCUAUUGUAAAUAGUGCUGCAGUGGACACAGUGGUGCAUAGAUCUCUUCAAGUUAGUGUUUUUGUUUUCUUGGAUAAAAACUCCAGAGUGGAAUUGCUGGAUCAUGUUAGUUCUAUUUUUAAUUUCUUUGCGUAAACCUUCAUACUGUUUUCCACAGUAGCUGCACCAAUUUACAUUCUCACCAACGGUGUACAGGUGUUUGCUUUUUUCCACAUCCUCAUCAACACUUGUUAUUUCUUGGUUUUUUUAUAAUAACCAUUCUGACAGGUGUGGGGUAAUAUCUCAUUGUGGUUUCCAUGUGCAUUUCCCUGAUGAUGAGUGAUGUGGAGCAUCUUUUCAUGUGCUUGUUGGUCAUCUGUAGGUCUUUGGAAAAAUGUCCACUCAGACUGUCUGCCCACUUUAUCUUAAUUUUUUUUGCCCUGUUCCCCCUCUUCUGCCUAUUUUAAAUCAGAUUUUUUUUUGUUUUUGUUUGCUGUUGAACUGUAUGAAUUCUUUAUAUAUUUUAGACACUAGCCCCUUAUCACACAUAGGAUUUGCAAACAUUUUCUUCCAUUAAGUUGCCUUUUCAUUUUCUUCAUAGUUUGCUUCACUGUGCAAAAGGUUUUUAGUUUGAUGUAGUCCCGUUUGUUUAUUUUUGCUUUUGUUGCCCUUGCCUGUGGAGUCAGGUGCAAAGAAAUAUUGCUAAGACUAAUGUCAAGGGACUUACUAUGCUUUCUUUGAGGAUUUUUAUGGUUUCAGGUCUUACAUUUAAGUCUUUAAUCCAUUUUGAGUUGAUUUUUGUGUGUAGUGUUAAGAUAGUGGUUCAGUUUUAAUCUUUUGCAUGUAUUGCACAAUUUUCCCAACACCAUUCUUUGAAGAGACGGCCUUUUCCCUGUUGUAUAUUCUUGCCUCCUUUGUCGUAGACUAAUUGAUCAUAUAUGUGUGGAUUUAUUUCUCAGUUCUCAAUUCUGUUCCAUUGAUCUUUGUGUCUGUUUUGUGCUAGUACCAUUCGGUUUUGAUUACUAUAGCUUUGUAGUAUAGUUUGAAGUCUGGGAACAGGGUCCACCUUUGUUCUUCUUUUUCAAGGCUGCUUUGGCUAUUUGGGGUCUUUUGUAGUUCCAUACAAAUUUUAGCAUUAUUCUAUUUCUGUGAAAAAUGUCAUUGGUAUUUUUAUAGUUAUUGCAUUGAAUCUGUAGAUUGCUUUGGGUAGUCUGGACAUUUUAACAAUAUUAAUUCUUCCAAUCCAUGAGUGUGGUGUAUCUUUCCUUUUAUUUGUGUCUUCUUCAAUUUCUUUCAUCAGUCUCUUAUAGUUUUCAGAGUACAGGUCUUUUACUUCCUCAAAUUUAUUUCUAGGUAUUUUAUUCUUUUUGAUGUAAUAUGAAUGGGAUUGUUUUCUCAAUUUCUCUUUCUCAUAGUUUGUUAUUAGGGUUAUAGAAACACAACAGAUUUCUGUAUAUUAAUUGUGCAUCCUGCAACUUCACUGAAUUCAUUUAUUACUCAUUUAUUCUCAUAGCUUUUUUAGUGGAGUCUUUAGGAAGCUCAUCUUGUUGAUAUUUUUGGAAUCUUUUGGCAUUGAUUCUUAUUCAUUCAAUCAUCCAAUAUUUCUUGAAAAGGAAUCAGUGGGCUAGUCCUGGGCUUACAAUAAAAAUUAGACAUGAUCCUUUCCUCACAGGGCUUAAAAAUCCAGGAAAACUCCACGUAUCUAUUACAUUCCACAACCACAGGGUGGAAAAACCUUAAUAGUAUGCCAAGCAUUUCUAACCAUUUGGGGAUGUUUCCAAAUAACUAAAUUUUUUUUUUUAAUUUUUUUUUCAACGUUUAUUUAUUUUUGCGACAGAGAGAGACAGAGCAUGAACGGGGGAGGGGCAGAGGGAGAGGGAGACACAGAAUCGGAAACAGGCUCCAGGCUCUGAGCCAUCAGCCCAGAGCCCGACGCGGGGCUCGAACUCACGGACCGCGAGAUCGUGACCUGGCUGAAGUCGGACGCUUAACCAACUGCGCCACCCAGGCGCCCCCCAAAUAACUAAAUUUUUGAAAAUAAACAAACCAUCUGAAUUUUUUCCUUUUCAUUCAGAUGCUCACCCUCAAAAAAAAAAAAAUGAACAUCUAUACUUGUCACAGCAUGUAUCUUCUCUCCUUACUUAAAAGCUCUUGCACACUUGAAAGUUUAGGCAUUCAGAUUUUGGCAUAUUCUCUAUGCUUCAUAAACCUUCAUCUUCACUGACAGGAGGUUAAAUAAGUAUAAUUAUUAUUACCCCAUGAUCGCUUUCUGUCUUUGAUAGUGCUUAAGGCACUUUGAUUUCUCAGUGGUAUUAUUCAAUUAAAUUAUUACAAAAUAUACAGAAGUCCCAUGGUUUGUUUUCCCACCCUUGUUAUAUACCACUCAUCACACUGUUCUUUGAGUUGUCUGUGUCAUAAAACAAGCUAGUCUCUUGGCCUCUUUUUGCUACAAGCUGCUAGUAAUAAACCAGUAUGGUGGCAUGGUCUAACUGUGCAUAUAGCGCUAAUGACUGACCAGUAGAUCACUGCUCACAUCAGUACUGUGAAUGGUUUUAAGCAGGGGAUUGGCGUAAUCAGAAUUGCAUUUUAGAAAGAAUUCUGUGGUUGCAAUGUGGGGAACAGAUUAGAGAGAGCAAGAGUGAAGUCAAGGAGAACAGAGAGAAAGUAUUUGUUGUAAUUGAGGGGAAAGGUGAGAAAAGAUGUGCUCUGGACUAGGAAAGUGAUAGGGGUGAUGGAGAGGAGAUCACUUCAAGAAAUAAAGUGUAGCAGAGUCAGCAGGUCUUGAGAUUGGAAGGGGAGGAAAGCAGAGAACUAAGCCAAGACUUCCGGACUGAGUAACUUGCAGACCGGACUGAGUAACUUGCAGAUGGCAGGACCACUCACUGAAAUAGAAAACACUGGAGGAAGAGCAGUUUUGGGACAUUAUAUGCUCACUUCCAAACAUGUUAACCUUGAAAUGCCUGGGGGAUGUCCGAGUGGAAAUGUCUAUCCAAGAGGUAAGACCUUCCCAGCUGUUAUGCCUCAUGAAGAGGUUACAGGUGUGCUGCGUAUUGAUUUUCUCAACCCUCAAGGUAGCAUGAACUCCCUCUGAAAGACAGCAGUCUUGGUAAGGUAUGUUGCUAUGAAAACACCAUCAUUCUCUAUGUGUGCCAUGAUCUGGAAAAGGCCGGAAAGUAUUAAUGUGUAAUGCUAUUGGGUAAGUAAUUCUGAAGCUCAGGAGAGAGAUCUAGAUUAGAGAUAAGGGAUUUAUAGGCAUGAGAACAUCAGAACAUAGGUGGUAACUGAAGCCAUGAAGUGAAGAUCAUGUGAGGAGAAGAGGGACUGGAACAGAACCCUAAGGAAUGGCAACAUUAGAGAGGGGCCUCCAGAGAAGGAGGAAGACAGCUGGCUGAAUGCUGUUACCAGAUCCCCAAGGGUUUCCAAAAAAAAAAAAAAAAGUUCCUGAUAAUUCUAAUGUCAGGUUGGAUCAGGAUUGACACAUAUCUGCUGACUUUAGUCACAUCAUUGGGGACUUUGGCAAACCCAAAUUUUGAAGGAUUGAGAAAGAUGUACUAAGUAAGGAAUGGAGACAAGAAGUAUUUAAAAUUUUUUCAAGACUCUUAACUAUACUGUGAGGGAAAAGUUAGACAGGUAGGCGGGGCAACAGGGGAUGAGAAUUAUUUUAGAAAGCUAUUUUUAGAAAGCUACUGCUUAAUUUUAUUUUAAAACGUAUUUAAAAUUCAUUAUUUUUAAAAAGCAUUAUGUGCAUAUGGUUAACAAAUCAACACAGAAGCAAUUAUGUGCUCAUUUCCCACCCCCAACAAUGAGCCAUUUUAACUUUCUGACUGAUUCUUCAUUAUGACUAAAUAUGCUUAUAUGGCUAUUCUUUGAUUUUUCACUUUUACAUGUUUUAUUACUUUCUGUGUAUAUAUUCUUUUUAAAAGGUACAAGAGUGGAAUCUUACCAUUCAUAUUGUUCUGCACUUUACUUCUUGCGCUUAAAAUAUCUGAGACCUUUCUAUUUUAACAUAGAUAGAGCCACCUUGUUCUUUUUAAGAACUGCACAGUAAUCUAUUUAUGGCUCUACCAUAUUGUUUUCUACCGAUGAGCAUUUAAGAUGUUUCCAGCUUUUAAUUUUUAUCAGACAACUGUAAUGGCUAAUACUGUACAUAUAUCUUUGCGUAUUUUUUAAAAGUUUAUUUAUUUUUGAGAGUGACAGAGAGAGCGAGGAAAGGCAGAGAGAGAGAGAGAGAGAGAGAGAGAAAAUCCCAAGGAGGCUCCACGUGGGGCUCGAUGCAGGGCUCGAUGCAGGGCUUGAAGCCAUGAACCAUGAGAUCAUGACCUGAGAUGAAAUCAAGAGUCAGCCACCUAACUGACUGAGCAAUCCAGGCACCUCUAUCCUUGCAUAUUUAUGUGAGCAUAUCCACAGGACAGAUUCCUAGCAGUGGAAUUUGUGGGUAUGUGUAGUUUAUGUUUUGAUAAAUAUUGACAAAUUGCUUUCCAUAUGGUCAUGUUGAUUUACCACUCCCACUAACAGGGUGGAAGAAUACCUGUCUUCCCAGAUUCUCACCAUCACUGUUUAAAGUUUAUUUAUUUAUUUUGAGGGGGGAGGGGCGGAGAGAGAGGGAGAGAAUCCCAAGUAGGCUCCACAGUGUCAGUGCAGAGCCCAACGUGGGACUCGAUCUCACAAACUGGGAGAUCAUGACCUAAGCCGAAAUCAAGAGUUGGAUGCCCAACUGACUGAGCCACCCAGGGCCCCCCCCCCCGCCACUUCUUAGUUUAUUUAUUCACCAUCAUUGUUUAAAAAUUUUGUGAAUAUUGUUGUGACAAAAUAUUCUUUCAUUGUUUUUAUUUGCAUGAAUUAAUAAGAUUAAACAAGUUUUCAGGUGUUUAUCUGCCACUAUCAUUUUCUGUGAAUGUCUUUUCUGAUAGAUGUAUAAGAGUUGUUUGGAUUAUAAUGAAAUUCACCUUUUAUCUGUCACUUGUAUUCCAUAAUGUUUUCCUCAUUGGUAGUUUCUCUUGUGACCUUUUGGAUUUUUUUCUUUGCCUUAGGUAGUCAAAUUGGUCUUUUCCUUGAUGUCUGUUAGGCGUUUUAUAUUUAGAAAGUAUUUUUUAAAAAUCUUUUUUCUCAGGGCACCUGGGUGGCUCAGUCAGUUGAGCAACCGACUUCAGACCAGGUCAUGAUCUCAUGGUUUGUGAGUUCGAGCCCCGCAUCGGGCUCUGUGCUGACAGCUCAGAGCCUGGAGCCUGUUUCCCAUUCUGUGUCUCCCUCUCUCUCUGCCCCUCCCCCACUCAUGCUCUGUCUCUCUCUGUCUCAGAAAUAAAUAAACAUUUAAAAAAUCUUAAAAAAAAUCUUUUCUCUAGUACAUUUAUGGGUUUUCUUUUUACUUUAAAUAUUUCAUCCAGAAUCUACUUAAAUGGCAAAGACCACUGUUAUUUCUCAGUACUGCUCAGAAUGACAUCUCCAUUAUAGACCAUUUAGUCCUAUCUGUUCUCAACGUACACAGCACCUGUUCCUUUGUACCUUUGCUGAAAGGUUCCUUUCUCCUGGCUCACAGGUCAUGCUCCUUUCUCUCUUGUCCAACACUGCAAAAGCUAUAUUCCUUUCAAGAACAGUUCAAAUCCCAUAUCCUCUAGAAAGUCUUCCAUGCCCACUGUAGCCUGCAAAGACUUUCCCUUUGCUGAAGCUCAAAUGAUCACAUGCUUCCUUGUUUGAGCCUCUUCUUUUCUCAACUUUAACAUAGUCGCUAAGCAAAUCAAAUCUAAUUUUUGUUUAAUCUACUUUUUCCUACUACCCAAAGCAGCUAAAAGCACGCUGAGUAUAUGGAAUUUGAUAAAACACUUCUUGAUUUGCCACAAAAGUAUAUGCAUUAGCCACAUGUAUGUAGCUAAUGAGCAUCUGAAAUAUGGCUGAUCCAAAAUGAGAUGAGCUGUAAGUUAAAAUACACAUUGGAGGGGUGGCUCAGUUGGUUGAGUAUCCGACUUCGGUUCAGGUCAUGAUCUCACGGUUUGUGGGUUUGAGCCCCACAUUGGGCUCUGUGCUGACAGCCCAGAGCCUGGAGCCCACUUUAGAUUCUUCCUCUCUCUGCCUCUCCCCUGCUUGUGCUGUCUCUCUCUCAAACAUAAACAAUAAAAAAAUGUUUAAAUACUCAUUGGAUUUUGAAGAUGGUAUAAAAAAUAAUGUAACAUGUCUCAUUAAUAAUAAUAUUGACUGCAUGUUGAAAUGAUAAUUUUUGGAAAUAUUGAUUAUAUAUCUAUGUCUAUAUCUAUAUCAUCUAUAUCUAUAUCUGUAUCUAUAUCUAUUUGUUUUUGUUUUUAAGUUAAAGUAUACCCAGGACCAUUCUCUAUUCUUGUCCCUCAAGGAGGCUCAUCAUGCUUGGUGUUGGCUCCUAAAUGAGGCUGGUUUGAGGAUAAAUAAGAUCUUUUCUAGGAGCCAAAGGCUCUCAUAGGCCAGUAUGCAAUCAUUAUCUUCAUAGUAUCAGGGCCUAAUCUUUAUGAACACUACACAUCUUCUUUGAAAUUAACUGCUACAGACUUGAAAUACAACACUUCCUUUCAACAGGUAGGGUUAAGUGCUCAGCCAAAUGUUAGUAGGGAAAAGGUCAGGUUCAGAUGCUGAAGCAUCUCCCAAAGGUUUUAAUGACUGAAGAUUCCUCAAUGAACCGAACCAAGUAGAUGGAGCCCCUGACUAUCCCUUUGGUCACUGGGGCCAUUUUCUGCUGUCAAGGAGUUAUUUGGCACAGGUGCCACUUGGCUCAUAGCCUAGUCUCAUUGUAGUCAGGAUCCCUGUGUUAGUUUCCUGUUCCUGUUGUAACAAAUCAUCACAAAUUUAUUGCUUUUAAACAACACAUAUUUGGAGCACUUGGGUGGCUCACUUGGUUGAACAUCUGACUUCGGCUCUGGUCAUGAUCUUUUGGUCCGUGAGUUCCAGCCCCGCAUCGGGCUCUGUGCUAACAGCUCAGAGCCUGGAACCUGCUUCAGAUUCUGUGUCUCCUCUCUCUCUGCCCCUCCCCUGCUCAUGCUCGGUCUCUCUCUCUCCUUCUCAAAAGUAAAUAAACAUUAAAAAAAAUAAAACCAAAAUAAAAUGACACAAAUGUAUUCUCUUAUAGUGCUGGAGGCCAGAGUCUAAAAUCAAGGGAGAUUGGCAGAGCUGCAUUCCUUCUGGAGGCUUCAGGGGAGAAUCAUUGUCUUGCCUUUUAGUUAUUUAUUUAUUAUCAUUAUUGUUUAAAUGUUUUAUUUUUGAGAGAAAAUGUGCAUGCAGGCAGGGGAGGGGCAGAUAGAGUCGGGUGGGCUCUGCACUGACUGCAGAGAGCCCGACUCAGGACUCCAACUCAUGAACUGCGAGAUCAUGACCUGAGCGAAAGCUGGAUGCUUAACCGACUGGGGCACCCAGGCGCUCAAUUAUUAUUAUUUUUAAAAUGUUUUUAUUUAUUUUUGAGAGAGAGAGAGAGAGAGCACGCAUGUGUGAGCAAGUGGGAGGGGGCAGAAAGAGAGGGAGACAGUAUCUGAAGCAGGCUCUGUGCUGACAGCAGAGAGCCCAAUGGGGGGGCUCGAACUCAGGAACCAUGAGAUCAUGACCUGAGUUGAAAUCAGAUGCUUAACCGACUGAGCCAUCCAGGUGCCCUCCUUGCCUUUUCUAACUGCAUUUCUUGGCUCACAACCCUUCCUUACAUCACUCCAACCUCUUGCUUCUAUCCUUCUAUUUCUUGCUGCGGUCAAAUCUCCCUUUGCCUCCCUCUUAUAAGGACACUUGUGAUUACAUUUACUGAUAUUCCAUAUUAAUCUUUCAAUUUCAAAAUCUUUCAUCCUUAACCAAGAUUUUUAAUCUAUACAUCUACACAUUUGUACACAUCUACAAAAUCCCCUUUGCUAUCUAAGGUAGCAAGUUCCAGGGAUUAGGAUGUGAACAUCUUGGGGGAACCAUUAUUUAGCCUGCCACAGCCUUACAUUCAUUUCUCUGCAUUACUUUGGUGGAGGGAGAGAGCACCAGUGAAGUCACGAGAUUUCAAAGUAUUCCGGAGAUUUACAGAGAAGUAGGUAAAUUCAUAUCUGUAACCACUGUGAUCCACCAAGACUAUCCUAAACUGGCCUCGUUUCCAUUAGCAAUGAUCACUCCCUCCCAGCAUUGCUUCCUUUAAAAUGCUCUGUAGUGCUGAAGCUGAACUCAUUACUUCCUUGUCCUAAAAAACAAAUUAUCAGAGAUAGUAAGACGUAUGUUUUCUAGAGAUGAGAUUUUUUUUUCAUAAGCGUUGAAUUUAACAAGCAUAGUUGUGGUCUGUGGAAUGCUUAGAGUGUAACAGCACCUUGUUUUUAAUAUUCUAUAUUCUGCAAAAUACCUUUACAUCCUCUAGUUCAUUAAGGCAUAGUUACUUUAGUUGUACCAAUGAAUGAGGUUCAGAGAGGUUGACUUGAACAGGGUGGUCAUGCAAUGAGUUACUGACAGAUCUCGAUUCCAAACCUGAUGUUCUUUCCACUGCACUGUUCCUGGGCCAAACUUGAUCUCAUGGGGCUAAGAAGGAUUUGAGCUCAGGAUCUUAAUACAUCCUGGAAUUGGCCUCAGAAUCCCUACCUCCUAAGCAUGAAACAGAAUGAAACCCACUUUGGGGAGGUCUUACUUUGGGGUCAAAGUUAGGGAUAGAUUGGAAUUUCAGGAAUUCAGGGGAAGGUUAAGGUAGCUGGCAAGUCAGAGAUACAGUGAGAAGGUAAAUAGGACCGAGGGAGAUUUAAGAGUGUCUAUGUCUGCUCUACGUACCUGCCAACUGCUUCUAAAACACUCAGGAGAGGGGCUCCUGGGUGGCUCAGUCAGUUAAGCAUCCGACUUUGGCUCAGGUCAUGGUCUCACACAGCUCGUGAGUUCAAGCCCUGAGUCCGGUUCUGUGCUGACAGCUCAGAGCCUGGAGCCUGCUUCCGAUUCUGUGUCUCCCUCUCUCUCUGCCCCUCCCCCACUCGUACUCUGCCUUUCUCUCCCUCAAAAGUAAAUAAACAUUAAAAAAAAAAAAAGUAGCCAUUCUGAAAUGGGCCAGGGCUACUGCUUUAAAAAAAUAAAAAAAUAAAAAAAAAUAAAACACUCAGAAGGGCCAAGCCUGUUUAACUGGUAGGCAGUGGCAGGAGUGCUCCUCGGAUACUCAACCUAGAAUUAGGUCUGACUUCUGUGAGGGGAUUUCUGUGAGAAUCUGGAAGAGCCAAGAGUGGCCUGGCUGGGUCUCUCAUUCUCCAGUGUGAACACAUAAUUUGAGGAAGCACAGCAACUCUAAAGCCCAUGCUCUCUUGCACUGGCUUUCUGGAGUCUCUUCCCAGCCUUAGAUUUCUCUGACGUCUCAAGGAAUGGUAGCCAAGGCUGACUCUGCCACCUCACCGCCUAGGUUCAAGUCCUAGCUCUGCUUUGGCUUUGUUAUGUUGUCUGGCACAUGGUGCUAUAUGUCUUUUCCCCCCUUUUUCCUAUUUCUUUCUUUUUUUUAAUGUUUAUUUCUAUUUGAGAGAGAGAGAGAGAGAGAGAGAGAGAGAGAGAGAGAGAGACAGUGUGUGAUUGGGGGGAGGGGUAGAGAGAAGACAGAAUCCGAAGCAGGCUCCAGGCCCUGAGCUGUCAACAGAGCCCGGCUCAGGGCUUGAACUCACAAGCUGUGAGAUCAUGACCUGAGCCAAAGUUGGAUGCUUAACUGACUGAUCCACCUGGGCGCACCACCCCCCCCCCCCCUUUUUCCUAUUUCUCACCAGACCUCUUUUGGUUCCUCUUUUCCCCCUUACUCAGUAACUAUUGGCAGCCCUCAGACCUAGGACCUCUCAUCAUAUCCAUGUGUUUUUGGAAUUUACUACUCAUUAAAUCCCGAUUACUCUAUAUGAAUGACUUCCAGAUUUCAUAUCUAGUCUUGAUCUGCUGUCCUCUCCCAAACCAUCAAUAGCCAUGGCCUUGGAAUGGGCAUCUUAUUGCAAAGGUAUGUUUGAGAAAACAUACCUCAAACUUCCAUGCCAAAGACUAGGCUUAUCCCUCUCCCAACUUUUUUUUCUUUUUUAAGUAGACUCCACAGCUGGCGUGGAGCCCAAUGCAGAGCUUGAAAUCAUGACCCUGAGAUCAAGACCUGAGCGGAGAUCAAGAGUCGCACUCUUAAUUGACUGAGCCACUGAGGGGCCCCACUUUCUUAACUUUUUAAUUUCUUCCCAUUUUCAGUUUCCUGGGCAGUCUUCUGCCCAAUCAUAGAUGCCCUUUUCUUCUCAAUACUUGAAUUCAGAUACAUUUCUUUUGUUCAUUCAUAUAUUAAUUCAACAAGUACUUCUCAGCUGCCCGCCAUGUGUCAGUCAUUGUGCUAGGCCUCAAAGUACAAAGAUAAGUUGGGCUUGAGAUCAGUCUUAUGGUGGUGGCACACAGGCAUAGAAAGAUUAUAAUAUGAUAGGGUAAAUACUGUAAUAGAAGCUUCCACGCAAAGGCCCCACUAGAAUACAGUAACAAAUGCAAAGUGCUAUAGGAGUUGGGGGAAGAUUUCUGACAAAAUGUAACAUCUUAACUGUCUUUUAGGACAAACAGUUCAGUCAGGUUGCAAGGUGGGAGAGCUGGGGGAGAGAGAACGAAAAUAGAGGGAGUUUGUGCUAAGUCUCAGAGGUAUGAAAGGACACGGCAUGUAGGAUAUGGUGGUAGGUGAGAAGUUCAAGUGUGACUAGGGUGUGUGGAGGAAAAGCAUGAAGGCCAGCGCUCUCCAACACAACUUUCUGCAGUGAUGGAAAUGGUCUAAAUCUGUGCUGUCCAAUAAAGUAGCCACUAAUCACAAAUGGCUAUUGAACACCUGUAACAUGGCUAGUAAGACUGAGGAGCUGAAUUUUAAAUUUUAUUUCAUUUUAUUCAAUUUACAUUUAAAUAGCAAGCAGCUACCUUACUGAACAACAUUGGUUUAGGCACUGGAUAAAGGACAGGACUCUAGCUCUAGAAAACACUGAAGGUUUAAAAAAAUUUUUUUAAUGUUUAUUUUUGAGAGAGAGACACACAGAGUGCAAGUGGGAAAGGGUCAGAGAGAGAGGGAGACACAAAAUCUGAAGCGAGCUCCAGGUUCUGAGCUGUCAGCACAGAGCCUGAUGCAGGUCUCGAACUCACAAAUGGUGAGAUCGGAACUGAGCUGAAGCCAGACGCUUAACCAAGCCACCCAGGUGCCCCAAAACACUGAAGGUUUUUAAGCAUAAUACUAGCAUAACUAGGAAUCUGAGGAAGGGAACACUGGCAGCAGGGAUUACAUAAGGAUAGAUGGCUUAACACAGAAAUGCCUGGUAGGGACCAGCCACAUGGAUAGAAUAAAUGGGACUUACGUGUUAUUGGACAUGUAAGAAUUUACUGGACUUUGUGACUAUUUCAGUGUGGGGAGACUCACGUAAGCAAGGAGACUCAUCUGAAGUUUGUAGCUUGAGCAAUGGGUGGAUGGCAACAACUGAGAUAGGAUUAGGUUUAGAAUGAGGGUAAUGAGUUUGCUUCUGGAAUAUAUUGAAUCUGAGGUGCCUAAGAACUAUCUAAGAGGAUAUGAUUACAAAACAGGAAAAAUACUAAUCUGCAACUGUGGAAGUGAGGCCACCAAUAUAUUUGGGGGUUAUGAGCAUAUAGGUAGUUGCUAAACGCAUGGGAGUGAAGGAACUCACUCCAUGAAAAAUAUGUAGAAGAGGACUGGAUGGACCCUAAGAGGUCCUAAGCAAUCAAAAUGUGGUCUAUUUUGCAUCAGAGGCACCUGGGGUGGUUGUUAAAAACAGGUUCCUCCUUGUGGAUGUAUUUAACCAUGGAAUUAUACACUUUAAAAUAGUUAAAAUGGUAAAUUUUGUUACAUACAUUUUACCAUGAUAAAAAAAUGCAACAAACAAAUAAACCCAAACAAACAACAAACCCUCCCACAAAUCUAAUCAAACCAAACCAAACCAACCCUCAAGCCCCAUUCUUAACCUGAAUCACUGUUUCUGGAGAUGAAUCCAGGACUCUCCAGGUAACGUGUUCAAUUAAAAUUUGAACUAACUGCUUAAAGAGUACAUAAAAACUAAGAGAUAGGAAGAGAAUAAAGGGAGAAGGGUAUGGUGAAGAAACCAGGGAGAGCAGUUCAAAGGGAUCAAUAGUGCUGAAUAGUCCCAUGACCCAGGAGGAAGACUGAACAAGAGGCCUCAGAAUUUGGCAUUCAGAAGGUCAUUGAUGAAUGGGAAAUAGACUGUGGAGUCUAUUCUUUCAAGGGCUUUGCUCACAUUUGGUGGUGAAGAGAUGGAGAGACUGAAUAAACUUGAAGAGAGAUCGGAUACAGGAAAAGUUGGUGGUUUUAGAGAGAGAAUUGAGCACAUUGGCAGGUGGACAGGAAGGGGUUAAUGAAGCCAAGGAGACAUCAAAGGGAUCCUCAAUAAAGCAGUUUGGGAGAAGUAGUAGAGGUUGGGAUCAGGAACUCAGGCAGAGGUUAUCUGGGUAAAAGUUCAUUGGGUAAGUUCAGAAGUGAAAAGGUGGAAAGAUGAAGGGGUUUAGGACUGAAGGCAACUGUCCCUGGAUGGCUCAGUUAAGAGUCUUACGCUCAGGUCACGAUCUCACUGUUUGCGAGUUCAACCCCACAUCAGGAUCUCUGCUGUCAGCUUGGAGCCUGCUUGGAUCCUCUGUCUCCCUCUCUGCCCCUCCCAAGUUCACGCUGUCAAAAAAAAACAGUAAUAAUAAAACAAAAAUUAAAAAAAAUAAAAAGACUGAGAGCAAGAAAAGACUUCCUGAUACAGCAAACAAGAAUGGUGCUGGUUGGUGGUUAGGUCAUCUGCUUAGACUAGUGGUACAGGGAUAUAGAGUCAAGAACCUGCAGAAGGGUAAAAGUCCACAAGAGUCACUAGGAUGAAAGUGAUCAGGAGCAGGAAUAUAAAAAGAUUGAAAAGUAGUACUGGAGUCUGAGAUUGGAAAUGACACCAACCACAUAAUUAUCCUGCACAAAAUAGAAAAACCGGUUUUCCUAAAUGAAGGUUUUGGUUCCACUCUCCUAUCGUUUGGGGAAUGUACUAGCUUUUGCUCUCUAUGCAUAGAGUUCAAAUUCCCUAGCAGGAACUUUUACUACCUUCUCCACCAAUAGGUCCAAAGUUUAAUUGGUGGUUCAGACACUCUUAUCCCCCAGCCUUCCUUCUAUAACUUCAGAAAAUAAUAGGAUCUUAAGGAUUUUGAAGCUCAUCAAUCCAGUCGCCCUUCUUAGCUAGGUAUAUUUUGUUUUCCUAUCUUCUCUCCACCAAAUCCUUCUCCAUCUCCCACUUUCCCUUGGACUCAACUCAUGGGUGUCAAAACCUGACAGAUAUCAGUGACGCCUAUCCCACAGCAUUUAUGCUAUAGUCAUUCAAUUGUAGACUGCAUUUUAUGCCUGUUUCCCUGCACACAUUCCCACUGCCUUNNNNNNNNNNGGUGGUUCAGACACUCUUAUCCCCCAGCCUUCCUUCUAUAACUUCAGAAAAUAAUAGGAUCUUAAGGAUUUUGAAGCUCAUCAAUCCAGUCGCCCUUCUUAGCUAGGUAUAUUUUGUUUUCCUAUCUUCUCUCCACCAAAUCCUUCUCCAUCUCCCACUUUCCCUUGGACUCAACUCAUGGGUGUCAAAACCUGACAGAUAUCAGUGACGCCUAUCCCACAGCAUUUAUGCUAUAGUCAUUCAAUUGUAGACUGCAUUUUAUGCCUGUUUCCCUGCACACAUUCCCACUGCCAUACUGAUGUGUACCCCCCACCCCCAUGUUGGUGUGCUUUGGCAGAGGACGCUGACAAAAAAAAGUCCUAAAUUAACUUACUCUCUGGUAUGUUUUCUGUUCUGAGCUUGGGUGAGGUUCUUUUUCUUGAGCUGAAAACUCCCUGGAUAGAGUGGUUAAAAGCAGAGGUUUCCUACCUACCCCAGAGUCACAGGACAUUCUCAAUCAUACUCAAGUCACUUUUAUUAUAUAUAACUAUACAGUCCCACUUCAUUCAUUGUAUUUGUAUCAGCUGGAUAUUGGGUCAUAAUUUAAAUCUUUUAAACAUCUUAUAAAUGCUAGCCAGCGCAUUUUGGCUAGUAUCUGUUACAUGCUGUGCUGAGCCUGGGCAUGUUGGAUACAUGACCUGCUCUGGAAAGAUAAGAUGUUUUUCAUACUAAUUCUCUCCUUUAGCCAAGCCAGUGACUCUUCAUUCCAGAUUGUAUUGUGAGGUGCUGCCUGAAGGCAGGAUAAGGAAGUCCAGCAAAAGCCUGAAGAAGCCAGAUCAGAUUCAAGUUGCCCAUGGAACAGAUACAUUCUAAGGCUAGCCUGGGCUAAGUCUCUAACCACUAGAAGCAGCCCCCUCCAUAUCCUAGAACCAAGAUCACUCUUUCUAUGCCAUUUCAAUCCGGAGAGCCCAGCUCAUUGCUCCACAGAUACAGUCUCUUCUUCCAGAAUCAACUCAAACAGUGGGGAAUAGAUACUGAUUCUUUCAAUUGCAUGUCUUGGACAUUUUGCCAAAAGUUUCUGCCAGGUUUUGAGGCUGCCUUACAAUCAUGAAUUAAGGACAGUGAACUUAAUUCUUUGUAUAACACUCUUUCAAUAUCUCUUCCCUGGCCUUCCCACCCUCCCAUUUCACUGUCUCCAGGAUCUUAAUCUGUUCUUUUCUUUCCCUUCGUCUACCAGUGAUUCAGGAAUUGGAUGAGUCUCUGUGGCUUGUUUUGCCCUGAAGAGCAGAAGGCUUCGGUCCCAGCUGGUGUUGCCAAAGCAGCAUACUAAUUCCAUGCCAUGGUCCUGGGUCAAGAUCUGCACAAUCUGAUUGGCCAUAUCACCUCGGAUGGCAAGGGAACGGAAGUGGUCAAAGUCAUGGAGGCCCAGCUUCCGGAGACGCCUUGCAGCUGCCCGGUAACACUUCCAGGGCUGAGGCUCCACAAGGAGGUAGCGGCAGAGGGAGGAAAGGUGGGCUAGGAACUCCCACAGACCACGGUCCCCAUGGUUCAGAUGAAUCCACAUGGUUACUGACAUGCAGAAGCCAAUGUCAAAAACUGACCGUCCAAACUGGUUUAAGAAAGAGCUCAAGAGAACUUUCCGGGUUCUUUGAUUCAUAAAGUCCAGGGUGAUAAAGGUCAGGGCAUCAGGAAAAGGACAUUCUUUUUCAGCUCGUUCCACCAGGACUGGAUCUAUGUCGCAGCAGAGUAGAUGGAGUUCUCCUGAGGCAUCUGAGCAGGUCUCCCCAUCACGUAAGGAAAGGAAGUGUUUGUAUAGAGCCACACUCAGAUCCUAGAGAAAUCCAAAAGAGCUUUGUCAUUGCAGCUCUCAACCAGUGAAUGGAAGAAAGACCUCUAUCUCUUAUCAUCUCAUUGGACUGCCACUUAGUCUUUGCUUUAUAAGAUAUGAAGCUCCUAGACUAAGAAGGUUGCCCAAAAAGUUUUCCACAGAGCAGGUUCUCAGUGCCCUCCACGGGUCUCAGGCAAUAAUGUGUCAUCUCUAUACUUCCCUGACAUUGAUGGUAGGUUGGGCUGUAUGGCUGAAAGUUACAGCCAAAUGGAUGCAGCAAAGGAGCUGAGAGCAGUCUUGUCCAGCUUGAGUAAUAUGCUGGUAAACUCACUUUUUUCAGGUAUCUCAGAUCUCAGGGAGAAAGAAAGGAUUCCAAGUGCAUAGCCAGCAUUCCUUACCAGGAAGGUGAGGAACCAGAACAAGCACCAUCUUAUAAACAUCUGCUUCUCAGACUUGUGAUUGGGAAAAGUCUGGAUUCCAAAAGUCCUCGCUUAGCCUUCAUUCUACAGCCUCAAUUUUACUGUCUGCCUUAUGCUUCACCACCCCCUUUUGAGAUUUAUUCUACUUCUGCAUCUAUCACUUCCCAAAGUCAUUGCUGACUUCCUUCUAGCCAAGUCUAAUGAUCUGUGAUUUUCACCACCUCAGCACUUUGACUCCUAAACAAGUCACUAUCUCCUUUGUCUAACAUUGACUUCUAUAACCAUUACAACUAGUUCAAAUUUGUGUUGCUCUAAUCCAUUUUUCAAGGCAUUUUUCUAUGCACCACUUGUUUUGCUCUGUGCAACAAUCCUGUAAGGAAAAUGCUUAUGCUCUUUGUACAGGUGAAGAAAGUGUGGCUGGAAACAACCCAGAUGUCCAACAAUAGUAGCAUGGAUGAAGAAAUGUGGUAUAUUCAUUA
rnacentral:lncRNA from 1 species